CUGGUGGGCUGCCUUCUAUGGGGUCACACAGAGUCGGACACGACUGAAGCAACUUAGCAGUAGGUGGUGUUGAGUGCAGGGAGCAUGCGCAGUAUCCUGCUUUUGCUUUUUGCUUCAGGCACCUCAAAAGUGGCAGUUGGGUUUUUUGGUCUCUUUGUAUCUUUUUGGUCCAGAAUUUGCCCAAAUUGCGGCUGCAGGCAGUUAUUUUUCGCGUCAUCUGAGGAGAGUUGUGUCCAGGCACAAGCACUGGAGCACUGCAGCAAAAGGUCCCGGACCCCAGGACUGUCUCAGAACUGACUCGAGCAAGUAGUGUCAGCUUGUCCUCUGGAAACCAGUCCACCUCCCACCCGAGGGAUCCUGCAUCUCAGUGUCUCUGCCAGUGUUGGACAUGAUCCAGUUUUCUAAUUUUUGCCAGUCUUCAAAAUCCAGAAAGCAUUCUACACUUAGAGCACACCUCAGUCGGACUAGCCAGACUUCACAUGCUCAGUGGCUGCACGUGACUCGUGCCUGCCACACUGGUCAGCACAGAUCUCGAGUUUGCCCUUGGAAGUGGGGUUAGGUAAGAAUGCAAACAUUUUCCUCUAAAUAAUUAAUCCAUUUUCGUCUGUCCCUAUUUCCCCAUUGAUUCGUGGAGCCUGCGUUAUUGUAUUUUUGUGCUCUAAUCUGCCUCAUAUCCAUCACUGCUCCAUUCCAUUCUCUCAUCCUUCCUGGAACUUUCGUCCACUCGUUUCCGAAGGUGUCUCCCUUACGAGACUUAACUUCCUGACUUUAUGUUUAUCCCCUUCUACGUCCUGUCCUUAAGGAUUCGUGGACUCAGGUAGCUUCAGCUACCGUGUGUAUGUAAAUGCUCAAACCAUAUUUUUAUUACAUCUCCACUCACUGUGUCUGACUGCAUUCUGCAGGACUGCUUCAUUUGGCUGCCCUGUUUAUGAGUUAAAACGCUAAUUUCUCCACUGUUUUCUCACCCUAAUACACAUUUUUUUCCUUCUAAAAUCUCCAAUUAUUGCUUUCUCUCCCAAUGCCCAGGCUUGCCACCAAGGAGUGCAUCCACCCAGCCUCCCCGAGCACCCCACAAUGUGUGACUUUCUCUUCCUACAGCGGAGAUCUCAGUUAUACCUGGAGAACAAAAGAAGGUAUCCAUGUAGUGCUGAUGUCUCACGACAGAGUGUUCCAGUUAUGUUAUCACAUGUCUGCUUUUAAGUACUGAGUCUGCUCUUCUGGAGAGAAAGUGGUAAUUAUUCUGUGAGCUGUCUAAUCUACUACAGCUCAUGUUUGGGAACUUUCUGGGCCUGCACACACCUGACCCUGUCUUUAUCAUGCUGAUGGGAGGGUCUGCUCAGCUGGGGCCCUUGGCCUACUAUGCUAAUGAUGGAGCUUGCUUUCCUGGAAAGAUCUCUGAGCCCCGAAAAUGGUUGUUUGUGUAUGGAUGGGAAACAAUGAAAGAGCAAAGCUUUUCCUAUAGGAGGCCACCAAGGCAAAUACUAUUGCCCUGAAACCUUCAGUGGCCGAGCCAGAGACCACGGGGAAAGUCAUCGACUUUAAUACCUCACUGGAUCUAGAAUACACUUUCCUGCGUGUUUGUUUUGUACUUAGGAUGUGCCUCAUGGCUUCCCAGGGUGAUACCAUUCUAUUGGUCAGUGGAUUGAGAACCUGAACUCCCUUGACCCCUUAUUGGGGUCCUCUCCAUCGAGACAGAAGGCGGGGCCAGUAAUCACUGCCUGUAUCCACUUUCCACCAUCAGGCGGAGCCGUGGCUGAUACUAGGUGUGACAGGGCUCUACUGCCUUCCUUUUUUUUUUUUUUUAAUAUUUACUUAUUUGGCUGUGCUAGGUCUUAGUUGUGACACAUGGGAUAUUCAAUCUUUGUUGCAGCAUAUGGGAUCUAGUUCCCUGACCAGGGAUCAAACCCAGGCCCCAUGCAUCAGGAGCAUGGCACCUUCACUACUGACCCACUAGGGGAGUCCGCUGCCUUCCAUUUUUGAAAACAGUUGGGAGAAUCAUGAGUGAAGAAAGUUGUGCACCACGGCAGCGGUCCUUCACUGCCUUCUAACAUGAAUACUGCUUGCUAA